rnacentral:rRNA from 1 species
CCUACGGGGGGCAGCAGUGAGGAAUAUUGGUCAAUGGCCGCAGGGCUGAACCAGCCAAGUCGCGUGAGGGAUGACGGUCCUAUGGAUUGUAAACCUCUUUUGUCAGGGAGCAAAGGGCGCCACGUGUGGCGCUUUGCGAGUACCUGAAGAAAAAGCAUCGGCUAACUCCGUGCCAGCAGCCGCGGUAAUACGGAGGAUGCGAGCGUUAUCCGGAUUUAUUGGGUUUAAAGGGUGCGCAGGCGGAAUGUUAAGUCAGCGGUAAAAUUUCGGGGCUCAACCCCGUCGUGCCGUUGAAACUGGCGUUCUUGAGUGAGCUAGAAGUAUGCGGAAUGCGUGGUGUAGCGGUGAAAUGCAUAGAUAUCACGCAGAACUCCGAUUGCGAAGGCAGCAUACCGGCGCUCAACUGACGCUCAUGCACGAAAGCGUGGGUAUCGAACAGGAUUAGAUACCCUAGUAGUC